rnacentral:rRNA from 1 species
AUAAUAUCGGAUAACGCAUAUGUGCUGGAAUGCUUUUAUGCGUAAGACGGAUUCGUCCGCCCAAGGAUGGGUCUGCGGCCUAUCAGGUAGUAGUGGGUGUAAUGUACCUACUAGCCAACAACGGGUACGGGUUGUGAGAGCAAGAGCCCGGAGAUGGAUUCUGAGACAUGAAUCCAGGCCCUACGGGGCGCAGCAGGCGCGAAAACUUUACAAUGCGGGCAACCGUGAUAAGGGAACCUCGAGUGCCUGUAUAUGCAGGCUGUCUGAGUGUCUAAAACACACUCAAAGAAAGGGCCGGGCAAGACCGGUGCCAGCCGCCGCGGUAAUACCGGCGGCUCGAGUGGUGGCCACUUUUAUUGGGCUUAAAGCGUUCGUAGCUGGGUUAUUAAGUCCCUUGGGAAAUCCGGCGGCUUAACCGUCGGGCGUCUAAGGGAUACUGGUAAUCUUGGAACCGGGAGAGGUGAGGGGUACUUCGGAGGUAGGAGUGAAAUCCUGUAAUCCUCGAGGGACCACCUGUGGCGAAGGCGCCUCACCAGAACGGCUUCGACAGUGAGGGACGAAAGCUGGGGGAGCAAACCGGAUUAGAUACCCGGGUAGUCCCAGCCGUAAACGAUGUGCGUUAGGUGU